ACCCGCUGAACUUAAGCAUAUCAAUAAGCGGAGGAAAAGAAACCAACAGGGAUUGCCCUAGUAACGGCGAGUGAAGCGGCAACAGCUCAAAUUUGAAAUCUGGCGUCUUUGGCGUCCGAGUUGUAAUUUGCAGAGGGCGCUUUGGCAUUGGCAGCGGUCCAAGUUCCUUGGAACAGGACGUCACAGAGGGUGAGAAUCCCGUACGUGGUCGCUAGCCUUUACCGUGUAAAGCCCCUUCGACGAGUCGAGUUGUUUGGGAAUGCAGCUCUAAAUGGGAGGUAAAUUUCUUCUAAAGCUAAAUACUGGCCAGAGACCGAUAGCACACAAGUAGAGUGAUCGAAAGAUGAAAAGCACUUUGGAAAGAGAGUUAAAAAGCACGUGAAAUUGUUGAAAGGGAAGCGCUUGCAGCCAGACUUGCCUGUAGUUGCUCAUCCGGGUUUCUACCCGGUGCACUCUUCUAUAGGCAGGCCAGCAUCAGUUUGGGCGGUUGGAUAAAGGUCUCUGUCAUGUACCUCUCUUCGGGGAGAACUUAUAGGGGAGACGACAUGCAACCAGCCUGGACUGAGGUCCGCGCAUCUGCUAGGAUGCUGGCGUAAUGGCUGU
rnacentral:rRNA from 1 species